CAGAUGACGAUUGUGGUAACCCUGGCCCAAGGCACAAGAAUAGUGAUGCGGGCGAUUUGGAUAUGGCAAAGAGAGGCGGUGAAGUUCCUUCCUCCUCUAAGUAGCCAGGUCUAAUUCUUGACUUAGGAAGGAAAGGAAAACAAAUCUUAUAUUGAACUUGCUGAAAUCUAAGUCGCAAUUAUGGCCACUGCAGAAGGGACCAGAGCAGACUUCUCUCCUUUACCUGAACUCUAUAAGGAAGGUACCCCCCAGCAGAGGUCCCCUGUGCCCGUCCGUCUCCUCAGGGAGUCCAGAAGAAUUUGGAAUUCGUGACCCUGGUGGGAUUUCCCUUUGCCCUGACUAACAUCUUCAUCACUUGGGGUAUUUGAGGACCAGCUUGCCUGCUGAUGGACCAGACCCAGUGGCCACAACCAGGACCCUUUGGUCCCUGGACUCCUCUUCAUGUGGACAACUGGCCAGAGUGCCCUGACUGGGUAAGGGACAAGGGAGCUUGUUAACCUAUUCCCUUUUCCUUCUUCUCUCAAGCUGGGCCUCUUUUCCUCCCUUUGAAACCUUUGAAGACACAAAAUAUUGCUGUUUAUCUGUUUAUUAGUACUCAUAUCUGAAAGUUCUGUGUUUCUAGAUUUUCUGAGAGACCACAAUCUUGAAUUCAAGAAAGUGUCUGAUUAGGAUGGCCAUGCCUGUGAUUUGUCUUUUAUGUUCUGUGAUUUCAUUUGUGAUGGCCAUUCUGCCUUGUGAAGGCAGGUUUGGUUCCACUGUAGAGCCCUCUUGGGCAAAUUCUGUCUGGGAAGAGGCUAAGACUAAGAAAAAGAUGGUAUUUUACUUUAACCCUUUAUGGCCACAAUAUUCUUUAGACUCC